rnacentral:misc_RNA from 1 species
UUUCCGUAGGUGAACCUGCGGAAGGAUCAUUAAAAAAUUGGGUGACUGUAAUUUAGUUUAACCCAUUAAUAAUAUCCUACCCUUUGUGAAUUUGUUUGUUAUGUAAAAUUUUUGUCUAUCCUAAAGAAAGGUUGGAUAAGUGUAAUAGCUUAAAAAACUUUUUUUAGGAAUGGCUUAAAGACUUUUAUUUAAAAUUAAACUUUUUGUAUUCAUUUGUCUAAAAUUAAAUUUUUAAAUAAUAAUUUAAAACAACUUUUGACAAUGGAUCUCUUGGUUCUCGCAACGAUGAAGAACGCAGCAAAAUGCGAUAAGUAAUGUGAAUUGCAGAAUACGUGAAUCAUCAAGUCUUCGAACGCAUAUUGCACUUUUUAGUUUACUAAAAAAGUAUGUCUGUUUGAGUAUCAGUAAAAUAUUCUCAUAAAAUCAUUUGAUUUUAUGGUUAUGAGUGUUUUACAACGAUAAACAAGUUGUUUCACUUUAUAUGGAUUUUAAUUGAAAUCGUCGGUUGGAACGAUUUUAAUUUUUUUAAAAAUUGGAUAAAAUUUUCCCGUAAAAAGGAAUAAAGCUAUUUCAGUUUUUAGAAAUUUAAUAGUUUCCAUACCGUACAGUUAAAGGAAUUUAUUUAUAAAUAACUUGAUCUCAAAUCAGAUAAGAGUACCCGCUGAACUUAAGCAUAUCAAUAAGCGGAGGAAAAGAAACUAACAAGGAUUCCCUUAGUAACGGCGAGUGAAGCGGAAGAGCUCAAUUUGAAAUCUUCAAGUUCUACCUUGACGAAUUGUAGUUUAAAGAAGUGUUUUCUGUUAGAGGAGUGGCAAAAGUUCUUGGAGUAGGACAUCAUAGAGGGUGAGAAUCCCGUAUUUGGUCAUUCUUUCUAGCUGUGUGAUACACUUUCAAAGAGUCGGAUUGUUGGGAAUGCAGUCCAAAUGGGUGGUAAAUUUCACCUAAAGCUAAUAUGGCGAGAGACCGAUAGCGAACAAGUACCGUGAGGGAAGAUGAAAAGAACUUUGAAAAGAGAGUUAAACAGUACGUGAAAUUGUCAAAAGGGAAGCGUUGACACCAGUGUUGUUUUCCGAAAUCAAUUGUGCCUGGCUGGAUUUGUAGGAGUUUGACCUUAUCAGCUUCUUCUGCUUUUUCCGGUCUGGUGCAAUGCACUUUCGGUUAACAAGUCAACAUCAAUUCUUUUGUUGUAAAAGGGUAAUUGGAAGGUGGCUUUCUUUUCGGAGAAAGUGUUUAUAGCCUUUUACUCUACAAUCGAGAGAUUGAGUCUGCAGCGUAGAUCCUUCGGGUUAGAUACAUUUGUGCUAAGUUAUAGCCCUGUAUAGACAACUUGUUGACUAUACUCGGUCAUGUAGCUUACUCGCUUAUGCUAUUU